GCGAAAACUUUACAAUGCUGGCAACAGCGAUAAGGGAACCUCGAGUGCCAGGUUACAAAUCUGGCUGUCGAGAUGCCUAAAAAGCAUUUCAUAGCAAGGGCCGGGCAAGACCGGUGCCAGCCGCCGCGGUAACACCGGCGGCUCGAGUGGUAACCGUUAUUAUUGGGUCUAAAGGGUCUGUAGCCGGCCGGAUAAGUCUCUUGAGAAAUCUGGCAGCUUAACUGUCAGGCUUUCAGGAGAUACUGUCUGGCUCGAGGCCGGGAGAGGUGAGAGGUACUUCAGGGGUAGGGGUGAGAUCUUGUAAUCCUUGAAGGACCACCAGUGGCGAAGGCGUCUCACCAGAACGGAGCUGACGGCAAGGGACGAAAGCUAGGGGCACGAACC
rnacentral:rRNA from 1 species